rnacentral:rRNA from 1 species
GACGAACGCUGGCGGCGUGCCUAACACAUGCAAGUCGAACGGAGCUAUUUUUGAACUUCUCUUCGGAGAUCGGAUUUUAUAGCUUAGUGGCGAACGGGUGAGUAACGCGUGAGCAACCUGCCUCGGAGUGGGGGACAACAGUUGGAAACGACUGCUAACACCGCAUAAUAUACUAGAUGGGCAUCCAUUUGGUAUCAAAGCUUUAUGUGCUCUGAGAUGGGCUCGCGUCUGAUUAGCUUGUUGGCGGGGUAACGGCCCACCAAGGCGACGAUCAGUAGCCGGACUGAGAGGUUGAUCGGCCACAUUGGGACUGAGAUACGGCCCAGACUCCUACGGGAGGCAGCAGUGGGGAAUAUUGGGCAAUGGGGGAAACCCUGACCCAGCAACGCCGCGUGAGGGAAGAAGGUUUUCGGAUCGUAAACCUCUGUCCUUGGUGAAGAGGAAGAGACGGUAGCCAAGGAGGAAGCCCCGGCUAACUACGUGCCAGCAGCCGCGGUAAUACGUAGGGGGCGAGCGUUGUCCGGAAUGAUUGGGCGUAAAGGGCGCGUAGGCGGCCAUGUAAGUCUGGAGUGAAAGUCCUGCUUUUAAGGUGGGAAUUGCUUUGGAUACUGCGUGGCUUGAGUGCAGGAGAGGUAAGUGGAAUUCCCAGUGUAGCGGUGAAAUGCGUAGAGAUUGGGAGGAACACCAGUGGCGAAGGCGACUUACUGGACUGUAACUGACGCUGAGGCGCGAAAGUGUGGGGAGCAAACAGGAUUAGAUACCCUGGUAGUCCACACUGUAAACGAUGAAUGCUAGGUGUAGGGGUAUCGACCCCUUCUGUGCCGCAGUAAACACAAUAAGCAUUCCGCCUGGGGAGUACGGCCGCAAGGUUGAAACUCAAAGGAAUUGACGGGGGCCCGCACAAGCAGCGGAGCAUGUGGUUUAAUUCGACGCAACGCGAAGAACCUUACCAGGUCUUGACAUCCAGUAAAAGCCACAGAGAUGUGGGGUGUUUUCGGACAUACUGAGACAGGUGGUGCAUGGUUGUCGUCAGCUCGUGUCGUGAGAUGUUGGGUUAAGUCCCGCAACGAGCGCAACCCUUGUGUUCAGUUGCUAACAGGUAAAGCUGAGAACUCUGAACAGACUGCCGGGGACAACUCGGAGGAAGGUGGGGACGACGUCAAAUCAUCAUGCCCCUUAUGACCUGGGCUACACACGUGCUACAAUGGCCACCACAGAGAGGGGCGAAAGCGCAAGCUGGAGCAGAUCUCAAAAAAGUGGUCCCAGUUCGGAUUGUGGGCUGCAACCCGCCCACAUGAAGUCGGAGUUGCUAGUAAUCGCGGGUCAGAAUGCCGCGGUGAAUACGUUCCCGGGCCUUGUACACACCGCCCGUCACACCAUGGGAGUUGGGAGCGCCCGAAGCCGGUAUCCUAACCGUAAGGAGGGAGCCGUCGAAGGCGAGACCAAUGACUGGGGUGA